rnacentral:rRNA from 1 species
AUUGAACGCUGGCGGCAGGCCUAACACAUGCAAGUCGAGCGGAGCGGCGGACGGGUGAGUAAUGCCUAGGAAUCUGCCUGGUAGUGGGGGAUAACGUCCGGAAACGGGCGCUAAUACCGCAUACCAUCAGAUGUGCCCAGAUGGGAUUAGCUUGAUGGUGGGGUAACGGCUCACCAAGGCCACGAUCCCUAGAUGGGCUGAGAGGAUGACCAGCCACACUGGAACGUAGACACGGUCCAGACGACUACGGGAGGCAGCAGUGGGGAAUAUUGCACAAUGGGAGAAAGCCUGAUUCAGCCAUGCCGCGUGUUUGAAGAAGGCCUUCGGGUUGGAAAGUACUUUCAGCGGGGAGGCGUUACUCGCAGAAGAAGCACCGGCUAACGCCGUGCCAGCCGCAGCGGUAAUAC